GACGAACGCUGGCGGCGUGCCUAAUACAUGCAAGUCGAACGCAGUGGGGACGGGUGAUUAACACGUUGGUAACCUCCCAUCAGAGGGGAUAACACUUGGAAACAGGUGCUAAACCGAUACUGAUGGAUGGACCCGCGGUGCAUUAGCUAGUGGGUGAGGUAACGGCUCACCAAGGCCACGAUGCAUAGCUGACCUGAGAGGGUGAGCGGCCACACUGGGACUGAGACACGGCCCAGACUCCUACGGGAGGCAGCAGUAGGGAAUGUUGGGCAAUGGGCGAAAGUCUGACCGAGCAACGCCGCGUGAGUGAAGAAGGUUUUCGGAUCGUAAAACUCUGUUGUGAGAGAAGCGGUAUCUAAACAAAAAGCAACGGCUAACUACGUGCCAGCCGCCGCGGUAAUUC
rnacentral:rRNA from 1 species